rnacentral:rRNA from 1 species
GACGAACGCUGGCGGCGUGCCUAAUACAUGCAAGUUGAGCGAUGAAGAUUGGUGCUUGCACCAAUUUGAAGAGCAGCGAACGGGUGAGUAACGCGUGGGGAAUCUGCCUUUGAGCGGGGGACAACAUUUGGAAACGAAUGCUAAUACCGCAUAAUAACUUUAAACAUAAGUUUUAAGUUUGAAAGAUGCAAUUGCAUCACUCAAAGAUGAUCCCGCGUUGUAUUAGCUAGUUGGUGAGGUAAAGGCUCACCAAGGCGAUGAUACAUAGCCGACCUGAGAGGGUGAUCGGCCACAUUGGGACUGAGGCACGGCCCAAACUCCUACGGGAGGCAGCAGUAGGGAAUCUUCGGCAAUGGACGAAAGUCUGGCCGAGCAACGCCGCGUGAGUGAAGAAGGUUUUCGGAUCGUAAAACUCUGUUGGUAGAGAAGAACGUUGGUGAGAGUGGAAAGCUCAUCAAGUGACGGUAACUACCCAGAAAGGGACGGCUAACUACGUG